rnacentral:lncRNA from 1 species
UGAGACGUUCUCACCGCUACUCUUCUCAAUUUGCACUAGUCUAGGGUUUCAACCUCUGAUGCCGCCUGUUCCUCUUCAGAUCUGAGAACAAGUUCAAUAUUUUUUUACAUUCCUUGUUUGAUUUGUUAAUCCUUUUCAUUUUGAGACACUCAUCUUUCGACUUUUGAAACUUCGUUCCUUUUUUUUUUUUACCACAAAUUGGACUUGGGAUCUGCAUAUUAUUGCUAAACUUGGUGUUUUGAGUACAUGAUUUGUCUACGCGUGUUAGUGGUGAAAAAAUUUGUUCAUUAUAAGACAUUGUUCAUGUAUGUAGCAUUAUAGGUGUGACAUUGUUCAUGAAAUGUUAUGUUUGUUCAUCAAAUAAAGGUCUGAGUUAAGUGAUAUGAUAUUGUUCAUGUAACAUAAUGUUUGUUCAUUAAACUAAGUAAUAAUAACAUUGAACUUGGAUGAACUAAUGAAAACAUAAUAUGUUGCAGAUCGCAUAGGAAGCGAACCAGAAACAAUUCACGACUUUCCGGCAAUGGUUUAACAAAAGAAGGUAAUAAUGUGUGCUUGUUGUAGUAAACGAACAUCCAAUCUAGUGUGCUUGUUCAUUUAAUAUUGAAGUUGUUCAUCUAAUAUCGAGCAUGGUUCAAUAGUGGAUUUAUAAUAGGGGUGAGCAAAACCGGACCAAAACCGACGGAUCGGACCGAACCGGUCGGUUUCGUCGGUCCGGGCUGGUUUUGGUCUAGUGAUUGGUCCGGUCCGGUCCCAUUUUCAUGGACAGACUUAUGGUCGGUUCGGUUUCGGUCCGGAGGAGGCCAAAACCGAUGAAAACCGGACCGAACCGAAUAUAUAUAUAUAUAAAUAUAUAUUUAAUAUUUUUAUUAAUAUUAUUAAUAUUUUAAUUAUUUCUAAUAUUCAAAAACCCUAAUUCUCUAAUAUUUUAAUUAUUUCUAAUAUUUUUAUUUUUAUUAUUAAUAUUAUUAAUAUUUGAAUUAUUGUUGUUAAACAGGUUAAAAUAUGUGUAGAAAUGUGAUUUUUGGGUUAAUUUCGCAAACUGCCCAGUUUUUUCGGUUUUGGACCGAACCGGACGGUUUGACCGAACCGGAUCGUGAACCGACGGCGGUUUUGGUCCGGUUCCGGUUCGUCCUAGCGUUUACGUCGGUCCGGUUCAGUCCUAAAAAUCUUAGAAAUUCGGUCCUCGGUUUUGUCGGUCCGGUCCGGUUCGGUCUGGUCCGGACCGACUGCUCACCCCUAAUUUAUAAUAUUUGAACUUAUGUGUUUGUUCAUCUAAUGUGAAUUACGUUCAUCCAAUUUGUUGUGCAUGUUCAUCAAAUGUCGAGCAUGUUCAUCUAAUUUAGACUUGUUGGUUUAAUAGUGGGUUUCAAAAAAAAUUAACUUAUGUGGUAACUGGUUGUUCAUCUAAUAUCGAGUAUGUUCAUCAAUUGGUUCAAGAGUAUAACAAUGUGAUGCAUUUUCAGUUACAUUGCUAUGAAUAAAAUUUAUUGAGUUGUUCAUGCUUCUUCUACACAUAUUUUGGUUCAAGUGAACAACAAUGUGAUGCAUUUUCAUAUUGCUCUCAAGGAAUAGUCAUGUGAAAGAAAAGUUGGUUGUUGUCGUUGAUGGUGAGACGUCUGUUCAAGGUAUAGUGACAUUUGUUCAAGAAGCUUAAGAAGACUAAACUGAAAAAUCCGAAAGAUGUAAAGUGUAAGCGCAGAGGGCGUUGGUCUACUAAACCUAGGAAGUCAGUAAAUGCUCAAGGCAACACAUUUCCAAAGCUGAAUACGCGUACAAUCAACAUCGAUUCUGCAGAGUGAAUGCAAUUGUGUUAAAGAUGAUGUUGUGCACGCCGCAAUUGAACAUUAUCGUGAGUUAUGCGUUGAUCGAGAUUUCAAUGCCAAUUUAGUGUUGCUAGGUUGAAAUUUGAGUAAUGUCGAACCUUGUGAGCAGUAUUUCUUCACGUGUUCUUGUUAUGACCAUAUGGUAUUGAAUAUAUUUUGAAUAAUGUCACUUUGAACUUAGUUAGUUAUAUCAAUAAAUUUAGACCC